CGUGCAGAAGAAAAAGCGUAUUGCUCUGUGUGAUUACUGAAGGCUGUUGUAGAUCUCUCAUGUAUCUCUUAGAUGGAAAUUGGAAGUAAACACAUGAAGAGACGGCAAGAGAGAGAUGAAGACACAAACCAGUGAAAACAUGAAGCUUGUGAAGCUCGCCAGAUGGAGCAGCUACGUGGAUAUACGACCGCAUUUCUCUGCUGAUCCAAACCAUAGGUGGAGUUUCACUUUUAUGCGGGGGGCAGACGAGCCAGCAUUGCGAUUAUCCUGCUGUAAAACCUGUAAUUUCUUGAAGCAGCAACAUCUGAGUCUGUAAAGAGCGAGUCAGCGUGGGCUUUGAUUCUUAUGUUUGCUGCUCGGGAUGAAGAUGAAGUUCGCUGAAUAAAGGCUUGGAUUUGUGUCUGUUCCUUGCAAUCGUAUGGAUUCUGAAGAUGUGAAUUACAGAGCAAAAAUAAAAUUGAUUCUUUUUAAUUAUGUUGAGUUUUUGAUGUAUUUUAUGGUUCUAUUGUCAUUUACAGCAUACUGGAGAAAACACCUUUUGUGUCCCGCAUUUCCUGAUUUUGCCGAGUUAGAUGUGUUCCUGUGUCAUCAUAUUUUGUUGACCCUGGAACAACAUUUUAAUCCAAAAAUGUAAUCUUGACCACAUCCCUACACCUAAACCUAACCUUACCCAUGAGUAAUCCCUAAAAUCAGAGGAAAUGAUAG